rnacentral:rRNA from 1 species
GACGAACGCUGGCGGCGUGCUUAACACAUGCAAGUCGAACGGAAAGGCCCUGCUUUUGUGGGGCGCUCGAGUGGCGAAAGGGUGAGUAACACGUGAGUAACCUGCCCUUGACUUUGGGAUAACUUCAGGAAACUGGGGCUAAUACCGGAUAGGAGCUCCUGCUGCAUGGUGGGGGUUGGAAAGUUUCGGCGGUUGGGGAUGGACUCGCGGCUUGUCAGCUUGUUGGUGGGGUAGUGGCUUACCAAGGCUUUGACGGGUAGCCGGCCUGAGAGGGUGACCGGCCACAUUGGGACUGAGAUACGGCCCAGAGUCCUACGGGAGGCAGCAGUGGGGAAUAUUGCACAAUGGGCGGCAGCCUGAUGCAGCAACGCCGCGUGCGGGAUGACGGCCUUCGGGUUGUAAACCGCUUUCGCCUGUGACGAAGCGUGAGUGACGGUAAUGGGUAAAGAAGCACCGGCUAACUACGUG